rnacentral:rRNA from 1 species
AACGAACGCUGGCGGCAGGCCUAACACAUGCAAGUCGAACGGAUAUUUCGGGCUUUGUGGCGGACGGGGGAUUAACACGUGGGAACGAGCCCUUUGGUUCGCUACCACUCAGGGAAACUUGAGUUAAUACCGGAUGUGCUCUUCCGGGGAAAGAUUUAUCGCCAUUCGAGCGGCCCGCGUCUGAUUAGCUAGUUGGUGAGGUAAUGGCCGACCAUGGCGACGAUCAUGAGCUGGUCUGAGAGGAUGAUCAGCCACACUGGGACUGAGACACGGCCCAGACUCGUACGGGAGGGAGCAGAGGGGAAACUAGCGCAAUGGGCGAAAGACUGACACAGCCAUGCCGCGUAAAUGAUGAAGGGCUUAGGAUGGUAAAAUUCUUUCUGCGGGGACGAGAAUGACGGUACCCGCUGAAGAAGCUCCGGCUAACUUCGUG